CGAGUUGGCCGGGCGGCCGCGGAGCAAUCCGAGGAAAGUCCGGACUUCACAGAGCAGGGUGAUUGCUAACGGCAAUCCGAGGUGACUCGCGGGACAGUGCCACAGAAAACAAACCGCCGCCCGGGCUUCGGUCCGGGAGGUAAGGGUGAAACGGUGCGGUAAGAGCGCACCAGCAUCCCGGGCGACCGGGAUGGCUCGGUAAACCCCACCCGAAGCAAGGCCAAGAGGUCGCUUGCGACUGCGCAGGAAGGUUGCUCGCCCACGCCUGCGGGUAGGCCGCUUGAGGCACCCGGUGACGGUGUGCCCAGAUGGAUGGUCGCCGCCGUGGAAACACGGUCACAGAAUCCGGCUUACAGGCCAGCUCGUUCG
rfam:Mycobacterium insubricum strain DSM 45130 Mycobacterium_insubricum_DSM45130_contig37, whole genome shotgun sequence.